rnacentral:lncRNA from 1 species
ACAUCAUGGACGACAGCAGUGAAAACGGGAGCUGUAGGGGGAAGAGCAUGGGCAUAUGGUGGUGGUGCUUGGGGAAAAGAAAAAAUGGGCACGACUGGCAACUUGCCGCAUCCUUGGCGUAUGUGGAAGCUUGAUAAUGUUCAUGAAAUUUUAAAACGUGAUUACCAACAACUUGCCGCAUCCUUUGCGUAUGUGGAAGCUUGAUAAUGUUCAUGAAAUUUUAAAACGUGAUUACCAGCUACGUCCGGUUGCCAUUGAGAUCUUUAGUAUGGAUGGAUGUAAUGAUCUCCUCGUGUUCCACAAGAAAGAGAGGGAAGAAGUUUUCAAAAAUCUGGUUGCCAUGAAUCUUCCAAGGAAC